AUUGAACGCUGGCGGCAUGCCUAACACAUGCAAGUCGAACGGCAGCACAAUAAAGAUUUCGGUCUUUAUGGGUGGCGAGUGGCGGACGGGUGAGUAACGCGUAGGAAUCUGUCCUGGAGAGAGGGGUAACCCGAGGAAACUCGGGCUAAUACUGCAUGACAUUGAGAGAUCAAAAGCAGGGGACCGAAAGGCCUUGCGCUCUGGGGUGACCUACGUCGGAUUAGCUAGUUGGUGGGGUAAAGGCCUACCAAGGCGACGAUCCGUAGCUGGUCUGAGAGGAUGACCAGCCACACUGGGACUGAGACACGGCCCAGACUCCUGCGGGAGGCAGCAGUGGGGAAUCUUGGACAAUGGGGGAAACCCUGAUCCAGCGAUGCCGCGUGUGUGAAGAAGGCCUUCGGGUUGUAAAGCACUUUAGGUGGGGAAGAAAGGUAGCGAGUGAAUAACUUUCUGCUGUGACGGUACCCACAGAAUAAGCACCGGCUAACUCUGUGCCAGCAGCCGCGGUAA
rnacentral:rRNA from 1 species